GACGAACGCUGGCGGCGUGCUUAACACAUGCAAGUCGUACGGUAAGGCCCUUUCGGGGGUACACGAGUGGCGAACGGGUGAGUAACACGUGAGUAACCUGCCCACAACUUUGGGAUAACGCUAGGAAACUGGUGCUAAUACUGGAUAUGUGCUCCUGCUGCAUGGUGGGGGUUGGAAAGCUCCGGCGGUUGUGGAUGGACUCGCGGCCUAUCAGCUUGUUGGUGGGGUAGUGGCCUACCAAGGCGGCGACGGGUAGCCGGCCUGAGAGGUGACCGGCCACAUUGGGACUGAGAUACGGCCCAGACUCCUACGGGAGGCAGCAGUGGGGAAUAUUGCACAAUGGGCGCAAGCCUGAUGCAGCAACGCCGCGUGCGGGAUGACGGCCUUCGGGUUGGAAACCGCUUUCAGCAGGGACGAAGCUUUUUGUGACGGUACCUGCAGAAGAAGCACCGGCUAACUACGUG
rnacentral:rRNA from 1 species